rnacentral:lncRNA from 10 species
GGCAGACACUCUAAAAGAGCACAGGGACGUUUAGAUUAUAAGACAUCAAACAAUAUAAAAUCAUCUAACUUAAGUGAUUACCAAUUAAUCAGCUUCUCAGAGGUUAUUACUAUCUCAAGCAAAUACACUGUUCUUAUUGAGGCAUAAAAUGUUCCUUCCCUAUUACAUUCUGCUAUAACAGUGACAGCCUUUCUGUGGCUAGUGACCGGACCCUUGUCUAUCGCAUGUUUUACUAAGGUAUUUAGCUAUGGCAAAGUGCUUAGAGAAAUAAGAUUUUAUCAUUAUCAACAUUCACUAUGACAGAUGAAGUAAAAAUGUAUUACUUUCAGCAUUUUUAACUGAAAAUAAAUUUGAUGUCCACUUAAAAAAAAAAUCAAACAUUCUGCCAGGCGC